GUAACACGUGGGUAACCUACCCAUCAGAGGGGGAUAACACUUGGAAACAGGUGCUAAUACCGCAUAACAGUUUAUGCCGCAUGGCAUAAGAGUGAAAGGCGCUUUCGGGUGUCGCUGAUGGAUGGACCCGCGGUGCAUUAGCUAGUUGGUGAGGUAACGGCUCACCAAGGCCACGAUGCAUAGCCGACCUGAGAGGGUAAACGGCCACAUUGGGACUGAGACACGGCCCAAACUCCUACGGGAGGCAGCAUG
rnacentral:rRNA from 1 species